AGCAGUACCAAAAUCAGCCUUACUGUUUACGAGUAGAAUCAGAUAUCAAAGUUCUUUGAAAACUUGAAUCCGAUGGGAAAUAGCAUGGAGAAGGAAUUUACAGAUUAUCUUUUCAACAAAUCCCUAGAAAUAGAACCACGAAACCCUAAGCCUCUCCCAAGAUUUCCAAAAAAAUAUAGCUAUCCCCUAAAAUCUCCUGGUGUUCGUCCAUCAAACCCAAGACCAGGUACCAUGAGGCAUCCCACACCUCUGCAGCAGGAGCCAAGGAAAAUUAGUUAUAGUAGGAUCCCUGAAAGUGAAACAGAAAGUACAGCAUCUGCACCAAAUUCUCCAAGAACACCGUUAACACCUCCGCCUGCUUCUGGUGCUUCCAGUACCACAGAUGUUUGCAGUGUAUUUGAUUCCGAUCAUUCGAGCCCUUUUCACUCAAGCAAUGAUACCGUCUUUAUCCAAGUUACUCUGCCCCAUGGCCCAAGAUCUGCUUCUGUAUCAUCUAUAAGUUUAACCAAAGGCACUGAUGAAGUGCCUGUCCCUCCUCCUGUUCCUCCACGAAGACGACCAGAAUCUGCCCCAGCAGAAUCUUCACCAUCUAAGAUUAUGUCUAAGCAUUUGGACAGUCCCCCAGCCAUUCCUCCUAGGCAACCCACAUCAAAAGCCUAUUCACCACGAUAUUCAAUAUCAGACCGGACCUCUAUCUCAGACCCUCCUGAAAGCCCUCCCUUAUUACCACCACGAGAACCUGUGAGGACACCUGAUGUUUUCUCAAGCUCACCACUACAUCUCCAACCUCCCCCUUUGGGCAAAAAAAGUGACCAUGGCAAUGCCUUCUUCCCAAACAGCCCUUCCCCCUUUACACCACCUCCUCCUCAAACACCUUCUCCUCACGGCACAAGAAGGCAUCUGCCAUCACCACCAUUGACACAAGAAGUGGACCUUCAUUCCAUUGCUGGGCCGCCUGUUCCUCCACGACAAAGCACUUCUCAACAUAUCCCUAAACUCCCUCCAAAAACUUACAAAAGGGAGCACACACACCCAUCCAUGCACAGAGAUGGACCACCACUGUUGGAGAAUGCCCAUUCUUCCUGAGUUCCUCUGUACUGGGAUGUAUAUUUUCCUAGCCCCAAAUCCAUUGCUGGCAAUGGAUGCACUGAAUGUGCCAGCACUGAGGAGUUAAAAUGAGAACUCCAAACACUAACGACUCUUCUUCAAGAUGCAGUAUAAGACAAUGAAUUUUAACCUAGAUGUAAUUAUACAAUGGAAAUGGUAUUCCAGUUUAGAAUAUGGAAAGACCGACCUAGAGGAAUUGGACAACUGAUUGCACCUGAAAAUCAUAAAGGGACUUUUUCUGGCCAAUAGGCAGGAGUCCUCUUUUUGUGAAGUGAUCUUUUGUGAAGUGAUCAUUAAAGGGAUGGAAAACACAGUCUAGUGUCCAGCAGGCCCACAUGACAGUUUUUGUAAUUCAAAUUAUGCACUUUU
rnacentral:lncRNA from 1 species